UACGAGGGUCCAAGCGUUAUCCGGAAUCAUUGGGUUUAAAGGGUCCGUAGGCGGUUUUGUAAGUCAGUGGUGAAAGCCCAUCGCUCAACGGUGGAACGGCCAUUGAUACUGCAAGACUUGAAUUAUUAGGAAGUAACUAGAAUAUGUAGUGUAGCGGUGAAAUGCUUAGAGAUUACAUGGAAUACCAAUUGCGAAGGCAGGUUACUACUAAUGGAUUGACGCUGAUGGACGAAAGCGUGGGUAGCGAACAGG
rnacentral:rRNA from 1 species